rnacentral:rRNA from 1 species
UACGGGGGGAGCAAGCGUUGUUCGGAUUUACUGGGCGUAAAGGCGCGUAGGCGGCGCAACAAGUCACUUGUGAAAUCUCCGGGCUUAACUCGGGAGCGGUCAAGUGAUACUGUUGUGCUAGAGUGCGGAAGGGGCUACUGGAAUUCGUCGGUGUAGCGGUGAAAUGCGUAGAUAUCGAGAGGAACACCUGCGGCGGAAGGCGGGUAGCUGGGCCGACACUGACGCUGAAGCGCGAAAGCUAGGGGAGCGAACGGG